CCUUUAAUCUCACGCUCGGACUUUGGAAGACCAGAGAAGCGGGAGAGACAGAUAAAGCACCAGUGACAGAGAGGGAGAGAAAAACAGUGGAAGAGGAAAUGGUGGUCUCGCAGAUUUAACUCAUAAGACGGAGUUUGUUAUUUUCUGGUGAAAGCGUCGAAAGGGAAAAGUGAUUUUCAGAAUGACGACCGGAAUGGUGCAAGACCAGAAUCUGGAGAAGCAGAUAGAGAAACAAAUGGGUUGCAUGGCUGGAUUCCUUCAUAUCUUCGAUCGUCAUCAGAUUUUGGCCGGAAAACGCCUCUACUCGGCCAAGCGCCUCCCUCCAUCGGUCGGCAACUCAACUCCACCGCCGGAGAAUGCCGUUCCGUCUAUGGAGACAUCCGCGGAAUUGGAAAAACCACAGCAAACUAGAACAACGCCUUCUCCGGACCGAGCGAAGCAUUUCGCUCCGGUGCCGGAACCAGUAACCCCUGUGGAAAGCAAGCCCAAACAGCCCCUUCCUCUUCCAAUUUUUGAGUACAAGGAAGGAGCUCGGUCUUUAUGGAAGUUCUCUCGAGAAGCCCCACGGCUUUCGCUGGAUAGCAGAGCCAUUGUUGAUGGUAAAGGUAGCAUAUAUCCUAGGGAGAUCCGUACCAACGCUUCUAUUCUGUCUGCUAACCGCAGUGAAAGCUCAACCGAAGAAGGAGACGAACAGCGUCGGUCUCCGAGCGUCAUUGCUAGAUUAAUGGGGCUUGAACCAUUGCCGAACUCGGAACCAGAACCAAUCAAAAAGGCCGAGCUCCGAAGAUCGGCUUCUGAAUCCAGAGUCUCUAAAGAGUUCUACCAGAAUCGCUUCAUCGACGGUAACAAUUUCAGACUUAAGAAAUCUCAACAUUCGAGCUCACAGGACAAUACUGCGAGCAGUCUACUUGUGAAGAAUGCAGCAAACGUGGACCACAGUUCAGACGCCAGAGUGCUAGACAGGGACGAAUUUGCAGCCAGAAGUACUAAGGCUGAGUCCGCUAGGGCACACAGAGGAUUGGGACCUAGAAAGAUUUUCUUCGAUUCGGCGGACGUUUUUCCAGAGCCGAAGCAGACCGCAUCAUUCUACGGAGAGAUAGAGAAGAGGUUGAGGAUGAGAGGAAUUGAUGAACCUACAAAAGAUUUGGAAACCGUAAAACAAAUCCUAGAAGCACUACAACUCAAAGGACUUCUUCAUUCCAAGAAGCCCCCGAACCAGAAGAACUUCGUCUAUGACCGUACUUCGCAAACCGAAUCUCCGAUUGUGGUGAUGAAGCCCGCUAGAUCACCAACUUCGGCCAAUCGCUUAGGAAGAAUCGGUAACGAGUCGCCACCUUCGAGUUACAGAUCAAGACCAGUCGGCCGCCGAAAUGUUAACGUUACUGGUGAAACCAUGCCGAGCGCAACCUCGAGGCGUGAUCGUUUGGAGUUUGAUCGGAAUAUACGGAACCAAAACAGAGGUAGAUACUCGAGUUCACCGACUAGAAGCGACAGUAAUGUGAAAAGUGGAUUGUUCAUUGAAACGCAGAGAAGAAUCAGCGAUCCCGUGGAUCAGAGGAGACCUUAUCCGGUUCAAUAUUCGAAGAUUAAUUCAUCCAAAAUCGGACCAGAUCCCCAAAUCACAAACCGAUCCCCAAGGAACAGGAAACCCACGGCUUCUGUUCAUCCAAAAGAACGCAAGAUUUACGUACCUCAAGCAGAGGACGAGUCAUCCACCUUCUCAGAGAGCAGCAUAAGCAACUCUUCACAAACGGAUACAGAGAGGACGAACAAGGUCGAGGAGUACAAGGAGGGGCGGAGUCUACUGGAGAGGUGCGAUAGACUUCUUCACAGCAUAGCAGAGAUCACAGCGCCCGAGUUGCAACCGAGUCCUGUCUCGGUACUUGACUCGUCUUUUUACAAGGAGGAGUCGUCACCAUCGCCUGUACUAAAACGGCAAAUAGAUUUCAAAGACCAAGUGGUUGAUGUGGAAGAAGAUGCAUGGUUUCAAGCUAUCUCAUCGGUUGAAUCGAGUUUGGCUGAUCGAUCCGACGACUGUGAUUUUGUCUAUGUUAUGGAUGUUCUCCGAGCCUCCCAUUGGUUGCAAGAUGACUCCGACGUAUUCCUAUUGUUAGAGGAGCAACAGUAUCUGAAAGGGAAGGACAUCUCCAAGGUCUCAAGGCUUCAAAGGAGGCUAAUUUUCGAUACUAUAAAUGAAAUUCUCGAUCGCAACAGGCAAUUGCCACCGUGGAAAUCCAGCGCGCAGCCAGAAUCCAUGGCCGAGCCAUCUUCAGUGCAAGAGAUCUGGUCCGAGUUUCAGCAAAUCAAGGACCGGGAAGACACAUCGGAUGACUUGUUUAAGGUCAUCUGCAGUGUCUUAAGAAAGGACCUGACAAGGGAUGCCCCUACUGGAUGGAGGGACUGGCCAGUCGAAACAUCCCAAGCAGUUUUGGACAUCGAGAGACAAAUAUUCAAAGACUUGAUCGGCGAAACCAUCGUGGAUCUCGCUGCCUUCCCCGGAAAGUGCAACCCAAAUAACAUGAAUAACAUGCCUCGUAGAAAGCUGGUAUUCUGAAAGGCAAGGCAAAGUUUCUUAAUUCUUUUUUGUUUUCGGCGCUGAUAGUUCCUCCCCCCACCUAAUUAUUUUUAGAGAAAAAAAUGCUAAUUUAAUGGUCUGUUGUGGGGGGAGAUCUAAGAAGAAUAGCAAUUUGAUGUGUAUAAAAUAUGCAUUUAGUCAUAAAAUAGUGAAGUGGGAGGAGCAGAAAAGAGGGGGGUGAGUGGGGUUGCUGUAGCAGUUCAUGUGAGAAAGUGUUUGAUAAUUAAAAAUUCCUCAUGGGAAAAAGUAGAAAGUGACCUUAAAAGCAGGGACUGGGACUGGGACUGCGAGAUUUUUAGCCUUAAAAGCAAAGCUGAAUUCAUGUGCGUUUCUGUCUCUCAUUUUGAGCACUUAAUCAUUCAAAACUGAGUCAUUAAAAAUUGCUCUGAAAAUUAUGGACGCCAUUCCUCUGGGCUUGUCUUUAACUUUACAACGCCCAAUUAUUUGUUACACCUCAGAUCUCACCUGCUCCCAACGCUUUUUAACUAUUACUACUGUAAAAAUGCUGAAGGAAAGAAAAUAACAGUAAAAAAAAAGGUAGAUCAGAAUAUUCGGACUGGACUUCCUUCGAAAAUUAUUAUUACCACGAGGUUACAGCAGAAAAGGAAACAAAGCACCUGAAUUCCAACGAAGCUUUGGGUUGCUGUUUCAAGUUGUGUUGAUUAGAUUGAAUUAUUCUUAUAGCUCAACAGAUGAAAAGGGCUCGCCGUUCUUCUUUUUCUUCCGUUUUGGUGUUUUCUGACCAAUGAUGGUGCAUGGCAGACCUCCAAUAAUAGUGCAUGAAAUUAGAGGGAUUGAAGAAUGAAGACAGAGGAGAUGGAUCGGCAAUGGGCGAAAGGCGAAUGGGGCAUUAGGUGACUGAGAAUGAGAUUGUCCAAAAUGUGUCUCAGUGGUGACGCCCCGCCCAAGAGUUGAUGGAUGAGCUCACCUAACAAUGGAAGCUUUCUGCUUCCUGCUAUGCAAUCCAUUACUAGUUUGUCUCCCUCUCCGGGUAAAAGUAUUUAUAAGCAAAAAAAAGCUAAAACCAGAGAGUCUGAGAAAACCAAUGGAAACAUGGGGUCCUUGUCGACGCAGAAGGGCGCCAUCUUAUCUGCGUAUGCAUUGAAUAAUGCGAAUUAACGUCACUGGCAGUUGCACAUGUUGCUUCUGCAAUCCCACUCUCUCCUCCAGCGCCAAAUUGUUACAUCAAUAAACAGAGCUUCUUCAGAGAAAACUGGCUGGUAGGUACGUUUUGUGAAACCAAGCACUCUUUAAUUAUGUGUCCRUUGCUGUUCCUUCUCGUCUUUGUGGCCAUUGCUCCAUUUCUGCAUCGUACUCAAUCAUUGUCCCCUUUCUUUCAUGGACCUUUUUUUUUAGCCAGAUGAUAAUUUUGUCAAUGGCUGUCAAUAUUAAUGCGUUGUUCUCAGUAAAUGAUCCGCCUGUAGGUUUAGGUGAAAAAGAGACGAACAUGACAGCCAAUAAACGCCGUAUAGAGCUUAGUUUUUGCUCAGAUCGAGGCCACUAAGUCUUGCGCACCAUCUGUUUGAUGAAUUGAUUCAACGAAGUGAAAAAGUUUGGAGUUGAUUUCUGAACACACCACAAAUCAGCUUUGGCUGCUCCCUUCCACGAUAAUUAUUCCAAUCUUUCUUCAAUGGAAGAUAUUAAAUUAGAAUAGUUUUGGGCUUUCAGACAUUACAUUUACAGCUACCCACUGUCACACCUUCAAUCCUUUAUUCAUAACUAAUACAGUAGUAAAUUGGUCACAACUAACUCCCUCAUUCUCUUGCCGUUUUUUAGUGCUAUUAUGGCAGACUGCGGAGUAAUAUUGCAAACCCUGAAACUUCCCCACAAGAUUUAGUUGGAACAACCUCUCAUGCUCCCCCUACCCAGAAAAAAACUUCUUUUUAUUAGUACAACAUGUGGGAUGAAAGAUUGAAUUCACAUGCCAAUUACGGUUGAGUUAUAUUCACUUUGACCAAAAAAAAAAACUUCUAGUUUAAGCCUUUAUUUUCACUCCACUUGUAUUGCAUAUAGCCCCAAAUAUCAAUGUCAUAUCCCACAAGCACAUUCUAUAAGCUCUAAAGAUAAAACUCAAAAUCUGGCAUAGGAAAAUAAAUUAUAGUUACAGGGCUCUAUGAACAUUUAAAACGGAAAGUUAAGCCAUGUUCAUAACAGGACUCUACCCUCCUUGGUAGAGAGGAGCACGGCC